rnacentral:rRNA from 1 species
CCCUUAGAUGUCCUGGGCUGCACGCGCGCUACACUGGAAGUUACGGAUUGAGAUACUACCUUGUCCGAAAUGGUCCGGGUAAUCACCUAGAAGCUUGUCAUAAUUGGAAUGGAUUAUUGUAACUAGUAAUCCUGAACGAGGAAUUCCUAGUAAGUCCCAGUCAACAGCUGGUACUGAUUACGUCCCUGCCCUUUGUACACACCGCCCGUCGCUACUACUGAUUGGACGUUUAAGCAAGAUUUUUAAACACUGACAGUGUGUAGUUCACGCUAUACUACAGUGAGAAGAAGAAGAUCGAGCUUACUUGUCUAGAGGAAGUAAAAGUCGUAACA